rnacentral:rRNA from 1 species
AGACGAACCGUACAAACGUUAUGCGGAAUCACUGGGCUUAAAGGGUGCGUAGGCGGCUUUGCAAGUUGGGUGUGAAAUCCCUCGGCUCAACCGAGGAACGGCGCCCAAAACUGCAAGGUCUUGAGGGAGGUAGAGGUGAGCGGAACUUAGGGUGGAGCGGUGAAAUGCGUUGAUAUCCUAAGGAACACCGGUGGCGAAGGCGGCUCACUGGACCUCUUCUGACGCUGAGGCACGAAAGCUAGGGUAGCGAACGGGAUUAGAUACCCCAGUAGUCC